GAUAACUGUAUUAUAUUUUUCAUCUAGCUAUAAAACUUUAAUCUUACUCUUAAUAUCCUGGAUUUAAUUAAAACUCCUGUUGGGUUCUUCACAAAUGAGAACUUGUUCAAAGGAUUUAUUGAACUGGUAUUGAUUUCACUGAAAAUUUUCCACACCACCACCAUUGUUUUUUUGAAUUCUUGGUGUUGUGCUUCCCACCUUCUGUCCUUUUCGUUUGUUUAGAGAAGAUGAAUUUUUAAAAAGCAGAUAAAUUGCUAAUGAGCAAUAAUGACCUUAUCUUUACCAAAACACUGAAAAUUAAGAGAGGUUCAGUGUUGAAGAAGCACAAUAUGCUGCGGUGUCUUUUUCUAGAAGUGAAUGGAAAUCUUGCUCAGUUGGCAUUUCAAGCAGGAAAUGAAAUGCUUGCUUUAAUGGCAAAGCAGCGUUAACAUUUUUCCUGUCGUGUAGCAGAGAGUACAAGAAUCAUUUCAGCAAAGCAGUGACUCACCAUGAGACGUUAUCUCCAUGGAGCUGCGUUUUGACUUUUCCCACUCUCUUACUCAUAGAAGGAGGACAAAGGAACGAAAUGAAAUCAUGCUCACAAUGAACUGUUCAUUACAUCAACUGAUCUCUCUCUCUCUCUCUUCCUCUCUUUCUCUUUCUCCCAUACCCCAAGGCAAAAUUUUUUUAAAGAAAUGACUUUAAAAACUAUCAUUUCUGUAUUUUAAUUACAUCUCUUAGAAAUAAAAUUAUGUUUGCACCAUAGCUUUCUAAGAAAAAAAAAUGUGUUUUUAACUGAGUCUUAGUUGCUUAGUGCUUUUAUUUGUGUUAUUUUUAGACUGUAUUUUAACCACAACUACAAGGAUCAUGUUUCAUUGCACUUACUUAUUUGCCAGUGUCUGCCUGUCUUUGCUAAAUACAUUACUAUCUCCAAAUUGCCUAAAAUCUGCUAUGAUUCUACAGUAAAUAGCUCAGGGUAUUUCUAUUUAUCACUACUAAAAGGGCACCAUAGUAUGUUUUGGUACUUUAGGCAGUAAACACUGCUUGGUUUAUCAUUUUGUUAUUAAAUUAGAACAAGAACAUCAAAUGGAUUUGCUGCACUAGUUAUUCUUUGUACUGUUGAGCAACUUGGUGUGCUUAUAUGUUGUGUUGGUUGAAGAACUCAUCCGUUUUAUUGUCUUGUAAUAUGAAGUUAGAGUGCCUUUUUAUAUUUGUAUAUUCUGAAAAUGUUCUGUGGAAUGUUUUGUAUUUUUUCAUUUGAGUGUUAUCAGAGCAAUAUGAUACCAGUGAGUUUUCAUUUCAACUUUUCUUUGAAUGUAUAAAGUGUCUUUUUUCCUAUUUCCCCUUGUACUUGCAUUGAAAUGAAUAUGAAAAUGCUUAAGUUUUCUAUAGGAAUUGUUUGAUUUUGCAGUGCUAAAAUGCUUUCGUCUUACGAAACUAUAAACCAUAGGUCAGUAUUAUAGGGGAAAAGCAUUUUAAGAUAGUGACAAUCUGAGUGUUUGUAUAAAAUGUAAUUCUAUGCGUUUCUUAUGUGAUCUAAAAAUUCAAUGCAAAUAUCUUUUAUUUGGUAGUUUUGUCUACAUAUUUUAUGCUCUAGCAUGUGCAAUAUAUCUUUGUAAAGCACGAUGAUACAAAUCUGGUGCCAGUGUUAUAUUUUGCAUAACAUAUUUGUAACAGCAUAAAAUAUUGUUUGAUGAUUUCAGUGGGAUUUUGUCUAUAAUGUUUUCUUAUGUAAAUUGGAGUUGAAUGACUCUGGUAAAUGUCAUGACUGUAAAAAUGGGGAAAAUGACUUUUAGUUCAGUGAAUGACUUUGAAACAAUCUGAAUCUUCUCAAGCACAGUUUAAUACUUUUGCAACUACUGAAUGCUCUAAUAACGUAAUGAAGUACUUAACUGUAAUAUACUAUGGAAAUGCAUUCAGAUGGUUAUUUUUACAAAUAAAAACGGUACAAAUAUUGUU
rnacentral:lncRNA from 1 species